UUCCCGGAAUCAUUCCCGGAUGCGAUACCCCCGCAAAGCCAAGCCCCCCAAAACAGGCGACGCGACGAGGGCGAGGAAGGCGCCACCGGUUUCAAGCAAGCCCUAGCCCUUAGGCGACGCGGCGGUGAAGGAUUCGAUCGGCGGAGAAGCCCUAGGUUCUUCCCCUGUUGCUCUCCUCGGCGGGCUGCGCCGGUCGGACCCGGGUUGAUCCGAUUGAUUCGGCUCGGCUCGGUCCCGCCAUGUCGACCAAUAGGGUUCUUUGCAAGUUCUUCAUGCAUGGAGCUUGCUUGAAAGGAGAGUAUUGUGAGUUCUCCCAUGACUGGAAAGAUCAAGCAAAUAAUGUUUGCACAUUCUACCAGAAAGGUGCAUGCUCAUAUGGUAGCCGUUGCAGAUAUGACCAUGUCAAAGUUUCUCGUAACCCUACAGUUCUGCUGCCAUCACCAUCGUCAAGUACUGCAAGACUUACAUCUACUUCUCUUCAACUUUCAAGUUCCGGUCAUCCUCCUCGCACAGGACAUCCAACAGAUUCAAGUAACCAAAGAAAUCAGAUAUCUGUGGAUGUGCUGGCACAUUCUGCCAGUAAGCCUGCAUGGAGAAACGAUUUUCAACAUGUUUCAGAGGAUGGAAUUGACUGGUCCUCUAACCAAACUUUGCAAAACCAGACAUCAUUGAAACCUGCUGAUCUGCCUAUUUGUUCUUUUGCUGCUGCUGGUAAUUGUCCUUAUGGGGAAGGGUGCCCUCAAAUGCAUGGAGAUCUUUGCAGUACCUGUGGGAAAAUGUGCUUGCAUCCUUAUCGUCCUGAUGAGAGGGAGGAGCAUAUCAAGUUAUGUGAGAAAAACCACAAACGUCUUGAAGCUCUGAAACGCAGCCAAGAGAUAGAAUGCAGUGUCUGUUUGGAUCGUGUGCUAUCAAAGCCUACUGCUGCUGAAAGAAAGUUUGGACUGUUAUCUGAAUGUGAUCAUCCUUUCUGUGUCGCAUGCAUUAGAAAUUGGCGUAGCAAUUCUCCUGCAUCUGGUAUGGAUGUGAAUUCAGCACUAAGGGCAUGUCCAAUAUGUCGCAAACUUUCGUACUAUGUCAUUCCAAGUGUUCUUUGGUACUUCUCGAAGGAAGAGAAGGAGGAGAUCAUUGAAAGCUACAAAUCCAAGCUCAAGUCUAUUGAUUGCAAGUACUUCGAUUUUGGGACUGGCUCAUGCCCCUUUGGUACAAGUUGUUUCUACAGGUGUGGCCGUGUGGGAGCACCUCAAGGGGUGAAGCACUGGAAUUGCUCUCAGGAGGAGUGUUUUAGAGCCCAGUACCAGCCUACCAGACAGAUUCCUUGCUACCUAUGUGCGGUACCUGAUCUACAUGCCUAUAGGGAUGGACGCUUGGAAGAGGUCGUACUGCGGCAUCUUGAUGCUGACGAUGGAAGUACAGUAAUUGCAAAAAAUAUCAGGCUGUCGGACUUCCUCAGUCGGAUGCAUCUUUAGGGAUUACCAGCUGUAUAUAUUUCAAAUGCAUUCUGGGAUAUCGUUAUCCAUCAAUUAUUUGCAAUAUUCUGAAGAGCAGUUUAACUUGAGGCAUCUUCGGAAACCAAAGCUUUCUCUCCAUUUAGUGGUGGUUGCUUUGUCGCCAGUUGAACAAAGAAACUUUGAAGUUCUCCGCUGUCUGGCUAGAUGCCUGGAUGACCUCUUGAAAGAAGCACAGUUGACCUAAGGACGAUGGGGGAAAAUAGUCCCAGAAGAUUUGUGCUGGAAUGUCAAAGCAGAAGUAAAACAAUUUAUAGAUUUCGCUAUAUGGGUUCAAGUGCUGGUCUUCUGGGCUACCAGUGAUUCAGUAGAACAUUUCCUGGCCGUCAGUAAAAUGGCACGUGUGUAAAAUACUUCCCUUCUACCUUGGCGUUCGUAUUGUGUUGAGGAAGGGUUCAGCAACAUUGCACCAAUUAGUCAACUGAGGUCAUUUGGUUGUAUUACUUAUAAUACCGAAGGUGGACAAAACAGCAAAUGAAACACAGAAUGGUCAUUGUCCUACAGCUGAGUCGAAGGUGAGUUGUACUUCCCAGCUGGAAGGGCCUCGGGACAGCAGGUCAAUUGAGGUCAUUUGGUCAUAGUGCUGAAAUUUAUGUGAAAAAUAACGAAUGAACACAUGAUGGUCACUAUUCUGCAGUGGUUUAUAAGUGCAAAAUACUCCAGUAAAUUGUAGCCAAACUUUUGAGAGUUUUUGCAAUAGAACAGCAGCAUCUGGAGCUCAAAUGCUGUUUAUUAUUUGA